UCUUUCCAUUCUGAAUCUUACUGUACCAAUUCUACACUGGCCCAUCAAAUUUUUUCUUCUCCCUUUUGCAAAUAUCAGUGUUCUCACUUAAAACUAGUUCUUGGGGGGCACCUGGGUGGCUCAGUGGGUUAAGCCUCUGCCUUUGGCUCAGGUCAUGAUCU